CCUGAUGGAGGGGGAUAACUACUGGAAACGGUAGCUAAUACCGCAUAACGUCGCAAGACCAAAGAGGGGGACCUUCGGGCCUCUUGCCAUCGGAUGUGCCCAGAUGGGAUUAGCUAGUAGGUGGGGUAACGGCUCACCUAGGCGACGAUCCCUAGCUGGUCUGAGAGGAUGACCAGCCACACUGGAACUGAGACACGGUCCAGACUCCUACGGGAGGCAGCAGUGGGGA
rnacentral:rRNA from 1 species